AGUCAUCAGUCACAUAGAGGGGGUCUUGUCCUGUUCCUGCAGUCAUCAGUCACAUAGAGGGGUCUUGUCCUGCUCCUGCAUUCAUCAGUCACAUAGAGGGGUCUUGUCCUGUUCCUGCAGUCAUCAGUCACAUAGAGGGUCUUGUCCUGCUCCUGCAUUCAUCAGUCACAUAGAGGUGUCCUGUUCCUGCAUUCAUCAGUCACAUAGAGGGUCUUGUCCUGUUCCUGCAUUCAUCAGUCACAUAGAGGGGUCUUGUCCUGCUCCUGCAGUCAUCAGUCACAUAGAGGGGGUCUUGUCCUGCUCCUGCAGUCAUCUGUCACAUAGAGGGGUCUUGUCCUGCUCCUGCAGUCAUCUGUCACAUAGAGGGGUCUUGUCCUGCUCCUGCAGUCAUCAGUCACAUAGAGGGGUCUUGUCCUGCUCCUGCAGUCAUCUGUCACAUAGAGGGGUCUUGUCCUGUUCCUGCAUUCAUCAGUCACAUGGAGGGGGGUCUUGUCCUG